rnacentral:sRNA from 1 species
GCACCGGCAAAAUCCGGUGCCGGGAUUGGUCUCCCGGUUAAUGUCACAGCGCACGACACGCGCUAGCGUGUUUUUU